rnacentral:lncRNA from 1 species
UGGCAGUUUCAUAGGAUGACCUGCUUGUGUCUGUGUUCCUAUAUCUUCAGCUAUCUGCCAGUGACCUCUGCCUCAAACAAUGCAAUGACUCAUGCUGAGCAAGCUUGGCCCAAGACAAAGGAAGUGAUCAUCCUAUAAUUUUUAACACGUCUCAUUUGUGAUUACAAGAAUCAAGUGAAAAGACAGGGCAAAAGGAAAGAGAAGAGUUUUCAAAUUUGUUUAUUAUUGGAAAAACUAAGAAACUUUCAAAUAAAAUUGAAAUAAAAGCUCAAUGCAUUAAACACAUAAAAAUGGAUUUUGCUUCAGGUUAAACUUUUUGGGUGAGAACCUGGAGUCUCACCUGCCGUCAUUUGGCCUCCUAUAAUAAAUGCCCUUUGAAAACAUUCUGCAGACUUCCUAGGACUUCAACAAACACCAUUUAAAAGCUGUUGUCUGCUAGAAGCAGUUGUGGAAAGGGUAAUAAGGACCUCCAAGGCUCCACUCCAAAAAUGCAACAGGAACCCUGGGGAAAAAUAUUCAAAGUCAACUUUUUCAGAACUCUGAAAAUUAACCAAGAAAUUACAACAAUCCAAAAGGUAUGUAUUCAAGAAAAAAUGAAUCUCAGCAGAACAGUUUUGUGGCAUUUUAACUUGCCCUAUUAUAAACUCUCUUGCAUUCAUUUUUCAGUGCUUCAAUAAGAAAUUACCACAUACUUUGUGGCUUAAAACAACACAAAUUUAUUACCUUACAUUUCUGUAGGGCUCAGUGAGACAUGGAUCUCACUGGGCUAAAGUCAAGAUGAUGACAGAAUUGCAUUUCAUUCUGAAGGAUCUAGGGGAGAAUGCAUUCCCUUGCCUUUAGUACCUUCCAUGGGCUGCCCUCAUUCCUUGGCUCAUGGCCUCCUCCCAUCUUCAAAGCCAACAAUGAGUCCUUCUCACAUCAUGUCACUCCAACCUUCUCUCUCGCCUUUUUCAUCUAAUUUUUUUUUUUUUUUUUGAGAUAGAGUCUUGCUGUGUUGCCAGGCUGGAGUGUAGUGGCACAAUCCUGCCUCACUGCAACCUCCACUUCUGGGGUUCAAGCGAUUCUCCUGCCUCAGCCUCCUGAGUAGCUGAGAUUAAACACACAUGCCACCACACCUGGAUAAUUUUUGUAUUUUUAGUAGAGAUGGGGUUUCACCAUGUUGGCCAGGAUGGUCUCAAUCUCUUGACCUUGUGAUCCACCCACUUUGGCCUCCCAAAGUGCUGAGAUUACAGGUGUGACCCACCACGCCUGGCCUCAUCUACUUUUACCUUUGUGAUUACACUGAGCCCACUGAGCUAAUCCAGGAUGAUCUCUAUCUUAAAUUCAGCUAAUUAGCAAACUCAAUUUCAUCUGCAAACAUAAUUCCCCUUUGUCAUGUAAUAUAACAUAUUCAUGGGUUCUGAGUAUUAGGACAUAAACAUUUAGGGGGAGGGGGUGCAUUAUUCUGCCUAUCAUACCUCUGUCCCCAGCUCUGCAGUAGGAUUGAAAAUCACCAGUCUUACAAUUCUGCUAGCUGUGAAAACCAGCAGCCUAGUAGCCACAAGAAGGGAAAGAGUGGAUUUUGACUCUCCAAAGGUCACUAUUUGACCUGUCUGGCAGAUCCCUGGAAAACUCUGUUGUCAGGGCUUGUCUUUAUUUGACCUGAUUUAGUACUGACUUGGUGUGAACAGUCUUAUUCCCAGGACUUUGUGAAAUAAUCAGUGACAAUUCUGUAACAUCACAGUUUCCUAAGGCAUUGGUACCAGUUGGGGCAAACAACAGGCUGGCCAUAAACUUUAAAAGGAAGAUCUGAGGAAUUAGUAUCUAAAACAGCUUUGAAAUGUUUUUACAUAUUGCUGGGACUUGAGAAGGUCAUGUACAUAUGCAGAGCUGCAUGCAUACUCAGGAAAAACCUGAUAAAGCCAUAAUCUCUAAACUUUGGAUAAUCUACAGAUACUCAGCAAGCAGGAAGUGAAGACAAGGCAGAGUUGUAAACUCAGUAUGUUUAAAGUAUGCUACAACAUACACACAUAGCCCCUUGGCAAAUAAUGACAGACUUACUGGUUUAAGGCAUUUAAGAAAAUUUCUGUCCAACUAUAAGCUGGCUACUAAGCCAACUAAGCAGACUUCAGUGGUCAUUUUGACAAAGAAUGCAAAAUUUACAAAAUCAUUUUAGCAACGUCACUAAACCCUUCAACAACAACAAACCCUGGGGGAGGAGAGAGGGAAAUAAAAUCUGGUUUCCAGUUUUCAACAAAAAAGAUGAGAUGUACAAAGAAACAAUAAGGUAUGGCCCACACUAACUACACAGGAAAAAAAUGAGCCAAAAGAAACUACCCCAUAACUAAGCCCAGAUGUUGGACUUACGAAAAAAGUUGUUUUUUUUAAUUAUAGUUUAAAGGGUACAUGUGCACAACAUGCAGGUUGUUACAUAGGUAUACAUGGGCCAUGUUGGUUUGCUGCACCCAUCAAUUCGUCGUUUACCUUAGGUAUUUAUCCUAGUGCUAUCCCUCCCCCUGCCCCCCAACCCCUGACAGGCCCCAGAGUGUGAUGAUCCCUGCCCUGUGUCCAAGUGUUCUCAUUGUUCAUUUCCCACCUAUGAAUGAGAACAUGUGGUGUUUGGUUUUCUGUCCUUGUGAUAGUUUGCUUAGAAUGAUAGCUUCCAGCUUCAUCCAUGUCCCUGCAAAGACAUGAACUCAUCCUUUUUUUAUGGCUGCAAGUAUUCCAUGGUGUAUAUGUGCCACAUUUUCUUAAUCCAGUCUAUUAUUGAUGGACAUUUGGAUUGGCUCCAAGUCUUUCCUAUCGGGAAUAGUGCUGCAAUAAACAUACAUGUGCAUGUGUCUUUAUAG